rnacentral:misc_RNA from 1 species
UAAUAAGUGUUUUAUGGCACUUUUAAUCCAUAUCCACCUUGUGUGCAAUGUCGGUCGAUCUUCUUCAUGGAGAUCGACCAAACAUCAACCUUUAUCUUUUAACUCUUUGUCUGAAAAAUAUUAUGAAUAAACAAUUCAAAAUA